ACGGAGGCAGCAGUAGGGAAUCUUCGGCAAUGGGGGCAACCCUGACCGAGCAACGCCGCGUGAGUGAAGAAGGUUUUCGGAUCGUAAAGCUCCGUUGUAAGAGAAGAACGUGUGUGAGAGUGGAAAGUUCACACAGCGACGGUAACUUACCAGAAAGGGACGGCUAACUACGUGCCAGCAGCCGCGGUAAUACGUAGGUCCCGAGCGUUGUCCGGAUUUAUUGGGCGUAAAGCGAGCGCAGGCGGUUUAAUAAGUCUGAAGUUAAAGGCAGUGGCUUAACCAUUGUUCGCUUUGGAAACUGUUAGACUUGAGUGCAGAAGGGGAGAGUGGAAUUCCAUGUGUAGCGGUGAAAUGCGUAGAUAUAUGGAGGAACACCGGUGGCGAAAGCGGCUCUCUGGUCUGUAACUGACGCUGAGGCUCGAAAGCGUGGGGAGCAAACAGGAUUAGAUACCCUGGUA
rnacentral:rRNA from 1 species